rnacentral:rRNA from 1 species
GACGAACGCUGGCGGCGUGCUUAACACAUGCAAGUCGAACGCUGAAGCUCAGCUUUUGUUGGGUGGAUGAGUGGCGAACGGGUGAGUAACACGUGAGUAACCUGCCCCCUUCUUUGGGAUAACGCCCGGAAACGGGUGCUAAUACUGGAUAUUCACUGGUCUUCGCAUGGGGGUUGGUGGAAAGGGUUUUUCUGGUGGGGGAUGGGCUCGCGGCCUAUCAGCUUGUUGGUGGGGUGAUGGCCUACCAAGGCUUUGACGGGUGGCCGGCCGGGGGGGGUGACCGGUCACAUUGGGACUGAGAUACGGCCCAGACUCCUACGGGAGGCAGCAGUGGGGAAUAUUGCACAAUGGGCGCAAGCCUGAUGCAGCGACGCCGCGUGAGGGAUGGAGGCCUUCGGGUUGUGAACCUCUUUCGCUCAUGGUCAAGCCGCAACAAUGGUUGUGGUGAGGGUAGUGGGUAAAGAAGCGCCGGCUAACUACGUG